rnacentral:tRNA from 1 species
GAAAAAGUAUGCAAGAACUGCUAACUCUAUGCCCCAUGCCUAAUAACAUGGCUUUUUCA